GGGAGAGUGGCCGAGUGGUUAAAAGCGACAGACUGUAAAUCUGUUGGAGGUUUUCUACGUAGGUCCGAAUCCCGCCUCUCCCA
rnacentral:tRNA from 1 species